ACAGGUAUUUUGUAAGGAUUUUUCAGAAAUGAAGUGUUUGUUUAAUUCCAGAUGAACUUGACUCGGCAUACCGCAACUUGAGAACAGUUAUGAUCACACAAAGUCAUCAAUGUUGUUUCACUUGAAAGAUCAUAAACAGAAAAAAGAGGAUCUCUUUAAUUCUGGAUUUUCCAACCUGUGUGUCCCAUAGGGCUGCUGAUAGUGAGUGUAGUAGGAUGUGUUGCACAUGUUCAGGUGGCCUGUCUGGGAAAGGAAGCAGAUGGCAGGGUCCUUACAGGAGAAAAAAACCACUGAAUGGAUUGGAUUUUUCACAUGUAGAAUUUGGAGAUAGCUGGAAAUAAUUGGAACGGGACAUGCUCCUUUCAUAAAACAUCAGUCUCUUAUCAGUGAAGUGUAUGAGUUUAAAACACAAUGUCAAUAUACGUAUUUAUGUGAUCAUGAGUUGCCAAAUUGCAUUAAAUGCAAAAAAAAAAAAAAAAAAAAAAGAGGAAAAAAGAAUGAAAAGCAGACCAAAUUCCAAUUCUGCCCUCCUCACUUCAGACACAAGAUUCACUUUUUUCCUUCUUUAGCACCAGUGAGUGUACAGUCUUCUCAUUGAAUUUUCCUGUUGAACUUCCUGCACAGCUUGUGUAAGUGUAGGAUAUACAGUCUUUUCUCUCUGUUUUUAAAUCUUCACAGCAGCCUGUGAGAGGUGAUUGUAUUUCUGAUUUAAUUUCAAGGAAUGAGCAUCCAUUUCAUCAGCACCUGUUCACAUCCCAUUAUUCUUUCUGACAUACCUUCAGACAUUUCAGAUUUGGUGUGCAGAAGGUGCAUUACCCAGCUGGAAUUUCAGAGGAGAUGUGGUGUAAGCAUUAAUUUCAUGAUAGGAAAGGAAUCUAAUUCUGGAGAGCAUUCAGCUGUCUUAGCAAUGGAUGCUUCUUUCUGUUCUGAAGUUCCCUGCUGUGCUGCUUUGACUGCUGCAGAAAAAGGGAAGUAUAACGCUGCAUGGGCUAAAAGUCCUGUGCAGUUUUUUAAAAAAGCCAAAACCAACCAACCAAUCUUUACAAAAAAAACAAAGUCCCAAACAAGGAAAGCCAGCAUGGCCAUGCUCACAGCACCCUGCAGACUGGGCACCUUUUCCUUCUGUCCCAGGGAAGGGCAGAGGAGUUGCAGUAGUGUCUUUGCAGGUAGGUGGUAGCUGGUCAGGUUUGGGAAACACCCCACUAAUACAGCAGUUUUGAAACACCUGGAUCAUUUUACAGUAAACAUGAGUUAUUGGUAAAGAUGGCUGUAGUCUGAUAUCAGGUCUGGGGCCUCUUAGCAAAGUUUGCUGAGUGCUGCUCCAGGAGGAGGAAAAGAACUGUGAAUGCUUUCUGUUUUUGCUGGUAUGGCCACUUUUCAGGUAUUUUAUAAAUCUGUUUGUGCUGCAGUGGGCGUUCUCUUCCCACCUUGAAAGUGUCCUUGAUGUAGUAUCAGGAAGGUCAGAGUUGAAAGGGUUAUGGUGAGGUGUUCACAGAACUCUGCUGGGAAUCCAGAGGUCUUGUACAGUGCUAAAACUUAAGCCAGGAGGAUAUUAGCAUACCACAAGUCAAGUUCAGCAGGGUCAAAAACUGGAGGAGUAUAGAUCGUAAAAAGGUUCUUUAAUACCCAGCUAGCUGAGCAGUAAGCUCAUAAGUAAGGACAGUCAUGCUUACCCUGUUGUGCUUACUCCAGAGAGUUGAACAGCCACCUUUAUUCUCCUGUUUCCAAACAGUUCUGGAUUCAGUUUAAAAUUUUUGGUGGACACAGCUUUAAAGAUGACUCUUCACCAUAACCAUUUCUGUCAUAUAUGUUUUUCUUCCCCACUGUUUUUCUUUCAGCUGUUAUUUAGUGGUUCACUACAAAAACCCUAUUAAUGAAUACCAGGUUCAUCUUUAUGCCAUACAUGUUGUUUUGGAUUUCUGUAGCUUUGACUUUCCAAAUUGUUGUACAUUUGCAGGAUGCUAUUACAUUGCAUUUCAUCUAACAAGCAUCCUGUAGACUUUUUGAUAGAGCACUGCUGAGCUGAACACUUAGGUCAGAGGCAAAAUUCAGUUUCAGGUUGAAUAGUAAGUCUGUAGCAGUUCUUCUGGUGAACUUGCCAGCAGGAUUUCUCAGCUGCUUCUUGUUCAGAUCCAAAGCAAUACUUGGCCAUCAAUGCUGUUCCCCUUGUUACAACGAGGCUGCUCUCUAGAAUCAGUUCUUGCUACUCCGAUACAGUACAAACCAAUAAUUACAAGUAGAGACAUUGAAUUUAAGGUUCCUGAGAAAUGAGGGUGCUUAAACCGUUAAUGGUAGCACUGUAGCUUCUUGCUUCUACUCUUCCUUUCCUCUCCCAUGAUUGGUUGGAUGUUCACCUGUACUUGUCUCCUUAUGCAGAGAGAAAGAGGAGAAAAGUGUUCCCUGCAGUGUCUUGGAUCUCUUGAGCCAACAAGCUGCUGGUGCAGAUGCAAAGCCUCGUUGCAAAGUUUGAGAUUUUUUUGAGUGGACUUUGCUGUUUUUCAAAAGAUUUUUUUUGAUGUGGUAUGUAAAGGUAAAAAUACUGCAGGAUUCUUUAAAUUUCAUUGAUACUAUUCUUUAUCUACAUGAAGUAUAAAAAUUUGAGUUACUAAUUUUGUCAGCAUUUCUAGAUGAUGGAGAGAAAUGUAGGCAUGCACUUAGGAGCUAAUUUGCUCAUAAAAUCAUUUUAUGCAAAAAACCAUUCAGCUUCAUCAUGUUUGUGAAGCAUUAGAACAUAUAUUUUUUUAACGUUCUGGUAAACAUGAAAUCUUCUCUGUGUUUCUUUCAUGGCAGUUUACAGAAAAUAAAUGUGCUUUUUCCCUCUACUUUUUUUUGCUUGACUGACUGUUGGUUAUAAAGUUUUAGCCUUUUCUGUCAUGUCAGAUAGAUGUUUUCAUUUACAUGCCUUAGGAGUGGGUUCAGAAGGGUUUGCAGUGUAGCAUGCAAAAUCUAAAGGUCACAAAUUAAAUCUAUUUCACUUGACCAAAGUGGGGUCUGUGCAGUGAAGGCUGCACCUUCCCCACUGUAGGAGGCUGUGUGGCCAGAGAGGUAUCUUCACCAAUGUAGGUCAUCUUUUUUCUUUCACUUGAAAUAGCUUGAAAAAUCCUUUUUGCAACUAGGCUGGGAUUUAAAGUAGAAGCAGCUAAAAGAACAUCAGUUGUGUGGCUGUAUCAGUAGAAGCUGCUGAAAUGAGAUACAGAUGUGCAAGUAUUCGAGUAGCUAUUUGUGAUUUUUCUGGUAUGAGAUGUAUGUAGUGUGGGAUGGGCAGAGUGUUUGUUUAUACAUAUGGAAGAAAACUAAUGUGGUUGUUCAGCUCUUAAUUGCUGUGAUUAGCUCUACCCCUUCUUUGACCGAGGAAUAAGUAAUAAAGGAAAUUUGCCUUUCAGAAAUAUGUGAAAAGCAGUGCUCUUCUGUUCUAGCAAAGUCUAGACUCUAGCAUAAGGGUUUAGAGUCCAAUUUUGCAGUGGGAAUAAUCAUCCUUUUUCUCAGAGGCAACACUUGGAAUGUUUAUUCCUUUAACUUCAGUAAUUUUCACUCUUAGAACUUUUUAUACUGAUUCUGUGUUUUCUGUUCUCUUAUACAAAGGCCAUAUAUUUGAGUUCUUGGGAUUCAGGUGUGAUAUUCAUGAAGAUUAUCUCUGCAGGGUAGAGUUUUUUUGCAUUCUGAAGAAAAUUGCUUAAUUUUUUGGUAAACUUGUCUUGUUUGAACUGUCAAGUGCAACUGAAAGCGUGUGUCUGCAGAUAGGAUCUUCUGAGCAGUUCCUACUGAGAUAGGCUAUUUUCAGUGUUGUUGUUUAAGUGAGUGAAGAGUAGAAGUGAGUUUACUCAGAAAGUUUUCUACUUGAUACUUCUACAGAAAUACUAACCUUGGGAAAAAGAGGGGACAUCAGACAUUUUGGAAAAUGGCUGUACAUUAGACCAGUACAGGCAGUCUUCUUCACUAAUGGACUUUAUUCUCCCUUCUGAAGGUCUCUAAGUAGUGAAGAGUGGAGUUUGUCUCAGAGGGCUGUCAUUUGUUUGAGUUGGCUGGAACAAAUAUUUUAUGCUAAAGUGCACACAGGUCCUUGAAAACAAAGCUGACUUCAUUAAUUUCUCACACUAACACUGGUUUCUGGUUUGGCUGCAGUGCAGGUUUUGUUUGGGGUUGAGAAUGAGAGGUAGGGAGGAGCCGGGAUACUGCUUUUUGUGUGCCUCAGGUAGAUGGCUGUAGGAGAAUGAAUCAUACAAGAGGGUGAAGUGUGGUGGAUCUCAUAAUUUACCACAUGACUUUCCAAAUGGGAAGCACUUCUGCUAGUCUGAUUUUACUGGGACAGUGUUGGUUACAUCUCCUUGAUAUUACAUGUGGCCAUGUUUCCAUAGGCUGGCAGCCGUUCCUUGCCAGAACGAGUAGCUACGUUAAAGGAACCGUAAAGAAGCUUCCAGGAGUUGAGCAGGAAGGCAGACAGUGAAAUAUGUGAAAUUAUUUCAAGUGUCCAGUUUAAGAUGUAGGAAGGUAGUGAUGGACAAUUCCCCAGUUGAGGACAACUGCUGCAAGUUAUUUGUAGGUUUUCCUUUCAGUUACAGAAUAAAAUAAUCUGGUGAUAAUACCCAUAUGCAAGCUUGGGAGAAAUGAGUGAUACCUGUGAGAUGCAGAUAGUGGCUGCUGUUUCUACUAGCUGUAGACAGGGAAUAAAGCAAGUGACACAGAUCUGUGUGGGUGAGCAGGGGAAUUCCACCCAGAGACUGGAAAGACAGUGUGCAUUACAGGAUCUUGUUGAAGGACUGCUCUAAGUGUGCUCGGGAGUUGUCUGGCAGGCAGCAUGCUGGAGGAGCUUGUUGUUUGACUUCAAUCUCCCUGUAAUAUCUCUGAAGAACACAAUUGGGCUGUGCUUCUGGAGUGGGUCAUCUUGCUUUCCUGAAAGUGUGCCCAUCACAGACCAGUAGACUCCACUUCUGAGAUGUGCAUAUCAGGCAAGUAAAGUCAUCUCAGGAUUUUGAAGCAAAAAUGCAUGUGAAGUCUAAAACCCUGAAUUGAAGUAAAAGUUUCCAGAGGAAUUUCCAUGGGCAGUUAAAGGAUCGCUUGCAGUAAUAUCAAAGUUGCAUUAAAAGAAAUCUGACAUGCUGUCAGUCUUCUGUGUUGUUAUGUCUUAAAUUUUUCUAAAUAUGAUGGCUGGGUACAAAGUAGCAGUAUUAUUUAGGUAGGGAGAAGAAAGCUGGUAAAGUUGCAGGGUUUUUUUAGAAAGUAACAUAAGCUUUUUUUUGUUAACAGAAUACUUGCAGUGGGCUGUAUCUUUCUAUUUUCAUCUCUUCCUCUCAGCUCAAUUAGUCCCACUAGGAAUGCACCCUUUGGAGAAAGGAUACAGGAUAAAACUGCUUUACAAAUGUAUGGUGACAAUCAUGGCAGCAGUGGAACAGCUUUUUCGUAGCAUGAAAUCCAAAUCCAAAGUAGCGACUUGCUUGUGGGCUGGGUAACCAGGAGAGGAGUAGGAAGUACUCACACUAAAUGAUAUCUGUGCUGUCUUCUGUGGCUGUUUCAGUUUGAGCUCCUACAAGCUUGAAAUGCAAAGAAGUUGUGUGUUCUACAUCUUUUUAACCAUUGUGUAUUUCUUACAAAGCCUCUAGUAAUAAGUUAAUUCAUGCAGGACAGACCGCAAGGAUGUUCAGUUUAACUUUUUUUUUCUAUUUAAAAAUACAUGUUUUGCAGAUACUGAGCUGGAUAUGGCCAUAGAGACUGUGAACUUUGCUAUUGGUGUAACAGAAACUUGGGGUACAUAAUUCACAUUGAUUCUUUAUUGUCAGGUACUGUGUUGGUAGGUGAAAAUUAGAUAAUGAUGCCUGAAUUGAUUAAUCCCCUGGGCACGGAGGAACUGCAGUGUAUAAAUAUGUAAGAAGACUUCCAGGAGGAAGCGUGGGAUUGGCAGAGCCAGGUGGUUCUCAAGCAAAGACAGACUCCUUUUUGAUGCACAGAGCCUCUGCUUGUGUUAGCAAAAAAUUCUCUGUUCCAAGCUGAGACCACAAAACCUUUAGUGAAAAAAACCCCACAAUCAGACUGUUAAUACCAAGAGCCUGAGAACGAUUGCAGUUACGUACAGAGAUAGGAUUGCUUGAUGAAAAUUGAGAUGUAAGUGUGAUUAGAUGUUCAUUUGCUUGUUACACUCAUGGUUCAGUUGUGUCAUUAUAACACUUCAGCCAGUGCAGGCGUCUUACAACUGCCUGUAAGAAGAUGGCUGGUGGAGAAUGAAAGGAGAAGCAAAAGCCUAAAAAAACGCUUUUUUUUUUCUCGAUUAGUUGUCUAAAUAAGCUAUUUUAGAAACUAUAGUUAUUAACAGCAAUCAGAAAUCAGGCUCUGAAGAAGUUAAACCUCAUUGUUAUAUCUUCAGUACACAAGUGCCUGCACCCCUUUAUCUACCAAUAAAGUUUUAGCUUCCAUUCUUGUCUCAUAAUCCCUGAAGAACAUUCAUGAUGCCAUAUGAAUUGAGUUGGUAAGUUACCUCUCCUUGUACAUGUGGAGAAAUUUGAUUGCUGGAUUUGCUGAAAGGAUUUCAGGACUUCAUUUAUGCCAUCUGGUAUUACAGCCUCUGCACACACACUAGGAUACUAAAGCUGUGGCACAGUAUCAAGUCAGUUGGAGCCUGGAUAUGCUUUUAGAUUUACAAAAAUCUAGCAAAAUUCCUAUUUCCCUGUAGGGGACUCUUGGCCUGUGGCAGUGCUAUGGUUGUAGCCUGCAGGGCAAUGCUGCUCUUCACCACCUGACUGAUGCAGCUGCUGGCUGAUGUCUGGCAGAACAGGAAACAGGUGGAAAGGGAUUACUAGAGCACAAGUAUCAAUCACAUCCUGGAUUCUUAGGAUUCGUGCUCCUAAACUUGUUACAAUAAUACCUGGAAUGAUCAAGAUAUGCUCCACUAUUUAAAUAAAGUUUAUUUUAUGAAUUGAAACUGCUCAGGCAAAACUUGUUUUUGAAGUAUUUGUAAUUGUUUCUUACAGUGUUGUACACAAAUUUGGCUGAAUCUGGACUGAAGGGAUUUGGGCAUAUCAGUAGAUGGCUUCUCAGUGCCCCAUUGCAACCUUACACUGGGGAAAAACUAAAAAAAAAGAAGAAAACUGAUGAGAAGUUAGAAGAUUAUAUGACUCCCUAAUUUAUUUUCAAUACUUUUUGCUACAUUCUUUGAAUAUUUUUCUGUUCCUAGGUGUUUUCUACAUUUCCCCAGAUUUAGGCUUUGCACCCAUAGUCAGCAUGGUCAGAAGGCUUGGCUCAUACUUACCACACAGUUUAGAACUGAUUCUCCUUGCAAACAUUUUAAGAAGGGAAAAAAAAAGUUACUUGUAUUUCCCAUCUUCCUGGUUUUCUAUUUUUCAAAUUGAAGUGAUGGGUAAGCUGGGUUUUAAUGAGCUUUUAGCAGAGGUGAGAUAGAGAAGUGUUUGUGUAUCUGCUCAUUAUAUUUGUCUGAAAACAUCUUUUUGGGUGUCAGCUGACUCAGUGCCUUCUCAGGUACCUGCUGCUUUGCCAGGCUCAGGAGGAAUAUUUGUGAGACUGACACAACAAGAGAGGCAGAGGAGGAUAAAAAACCAUUGUAUUCUCAGAAGUGGAGCUCAGUGCCUGCUUUUUUCACAUGUGGUUUGGGUUGGGAGAGGAAUUGAACCAAAUAGUUCUGGUGUUUUGUUCAUUGAUACCUGGUGAAGAGCAGCACAGAGCUGCAUAGUCUGGCUGAAGACCUUGGAGCUGGAGAGAGGUAAGGCAUUGGUGCACCUUUUCCUUGCUCAACCCUUGCUUUCUUUGUGCUUGACCUGUGCCUGCAGCCUCUCUCUCUUUGGUCACAAAGGUGUCAAGCUCCACACACCUGCAUCCUUUCCAGUUUAUCUCAGGGAAAUUCUUGGUCUUGCCAAAAUCCAAACAAAAAGUGUAGCUUUGCCUGCAGCUUUUCAGCUUUUAUAUGUUUUGCCACAGAGGUCUUUUAUUGUCUGUGUUUCCACUUCAUGUGUGACCCUUUCCUGCUUGGGCUUGGACCUGUUCCCUUUUUAUGAUGGCUCUUCAAGGCUUGGUCUUCCAGCCUCCUACCUGGCUGAUGUUUACAAUAAAUAAAAUAUUUUCAGACCAUUUUUUUCAUUUUGGUGGGUUUUGUCCAUGACUCUAAAUGGACUCUAAAUGAUGCCAGGACCUGACUUCAUUUAGAGUCCAGGAUAAUGUCUGAGGCGUGGCAGUAGUAGGUGAUAUUUGAGGUGGUGUUGUUAGAGGUGAUUCUGUUUCAUUGACUCUAAAAACCUUCCCAUUCUGUUGAGGUGUUCCCAUCUCUGUAGUACUGCCUUCCUGGCACUGCUGAGUUGGAAGAGUUUCCACCUUCCAGGGCAUUACCAGAGGUAACAGGAAGGAUGAGAUCAAGCCUUUUUUUGUAGUCUUGUUCUGUUGUCUGAGCCCUUUCUGAUACAAGUUGCAUGUCUUGUGACCCAAGAGUUUUAGGUCCAGAAGACAGCUUGGUUUGAGUGAGCUUUAGAGCUUUAUAUCUGCACACUGAUGGCAGGACCCCAUCAACCUUCACAGCUUCUUGGAACAGUUAUUUGUUGGUUGCAUUCAUUUAAGGCAAGUGAUUUUCAUCUGGGUUCUUUGAUCCCAGGUCUCCGGCAUGUGCUGGAUCAUCAGCCUAAUUUAGCUUAUGCCUCUUGAUCUCUUCAGGCUUCUUUCAUUUUUUUUGAGAAAUAGGAUGUUGUGAUCACAGCUCUUGAAUCUUAAAAUCUCUAGUUUCUCUGGAAUUGACUGUUAUGUAUUCAUGGCUUUUGGCUGUUAGUCUGAGAAAAUGCUCCUGGAGAGUGUGGUAGUGCACUGCCUCCUGUGGUAGCACCUUGCUGGUGACACCUUGACAGGUAACAUCACUUGCAGAAGCAACAGAAAAUCUUGCAGCCUGCUUAUUUGUCAUUCAUGUGAGUAUGUCAGAGUCAUUUAGGACUUCAAAUCCUUGCCUUGUCUUAAAGAGUAAGAAAACACCAUUUAAUGUCACUGCUGCACAGUAUUAUACAUUGCCUGAGCAGAUGUUAGUGAAGUGAUUGUUGCAUUUUAUUUCAUCUGCAGGGUGUUCAGGUUGAUCUAUCUCUAAAUAGUUUCUCUCUCUUUAAUGGCCAGUUUGGAAAAGAUGAUCUGUUCCACAAUAGCUGGGAUUUCUUUUUAUUCUUCAUGCUUAAGAGAAGCAUCUAAAAAAUAUCAGGUGGAACAGAAUUAAAAAGAAGAAAGCCUUACCACUAAAGUCAAGAGACGUGGAUAUUCAUUACUUACCAUGGACCAAACCUCCAAACUGGUAUUCAAAACCUGAAGUGUAAAAAAUAGCUGAAAUCAGCUCUGGCAGUAUGUCAGAUUUCCUUUAGUGAGCUGAAGCAGUAGCUCCGGUGAACAUCACUUGCAUUCUUGUUUCCAGUCAAGUUUUAGCUUACAGAUAAUUGUAUGAGGCAACAAAUUGUACCUUAUUUUGAAAAAAACCCCAGAAAGGAUCUUUGCAAGUUUACCUCAGUAAUUUGGGAUAUUUGGUGCUAUGUGAAAUAGGUGACUUUGUUUCACUACCUUUGACUUUAUAGAUAGGUAGGAGGAUGGUAUAACACCUGCUCAUGCUCUGCAGUUCUGUAAACUGUGUGUGUGAGAGUUAAUUAACUAUUUGCAUAUUAAUAUUGCUCCCUAGCAAUCUCAAAUUAUCCACCAUGUUCAUGAAGAGCCUUUCCUGAGAUGGUGAAUUAUAUUUUAUUCAUGUUUGCUGUUUUUGUGUCUGCUGAAUGCCGGGCUCCCUCUUUUCCAUGGGGCAGGAUCUGUGCUCUUUGUUCUAAUAAUUUUCUCCUCUUUGAAAUGCCAUUAUUUCUGGUCUGUUUUUAGAUGGUGAAGGAUAGACACUGUGAUGGGCACUAAAGCAUGGACUUGAAGUGUGGAUUCUGGUGGCAGCAUAUCCAACAGCUGUGUUGCAACAGAGAAGGUAAGUUCAGAGCUUGGGGCUGGGAGCGAACGGGUUGACAACCAGACUCUGGAUAGUUAAUUUGUUUUGGUUUUUUUCUGAUAGAAUCCUUAAAGUUUAUGGAUAGAUGUUGGAUUUAUGGACAUCUAUCUAUCAGACAGCUGCUAAAACCACUAAAAAUGGCAAGAAAAAGGGCAUUUUUAUAUAUUAUAUGGGGAGGAAAAGAGACUAAUUUGAGAAUCAGACUUUCAACCCUUCCUGUGGUAUUUAUUUGUCCUUUAAGAUACAGACACAGGUGUAAAUUCACCAAUCUGUUCAGGGAGAGAUUUUUCCCCAUUCAUUUUCCUGAUUGAGAAUUAGUAUUAGUGUCACACUUGUUGCUAGAAACUAUUGAGCUGGUCAUGCUCGUUUUUCUCUGCUGAGCUCUGUGAGUUCUGCUCUUCACUCUGCGAUGGGAGAUUGCUGCUUGCUGUUAGCUGUGCUUUAAAGACAAGAAUCUUUGGGUUUGGUCAAGUUUAGGACACUUUUGUUCUAAAGCCUAAUAAAAACAUUAGCUAAUAUACAUCUUGAUUCUCUGAUGUGAGUUACAAAGGACUCACCUGUCAAUACAUCUGAAUUACCUUGUUUUGACAGGUAAUUAAAUCUGGAUCUCUUCCUUAGCUAACAAAGCUAACAGCCUCAGAUAAGCUUUGCUAGGUAGAAUCACGUACAGACAGCAAGGUUUUAUUAUCUGUGAGGAAAAAUGCAUUAUAAGAACAUGAAACCUAGAUGACCUUGAAUGAAAACAAAGAAAUAAAGUUUUAUGAGAUACAGUAGAUUAAUGCCCCAACUUGGAUGUAGGAACUCCUGAGUAGUAAUUUUAUUUUAACUAUCAUUAAAGCUCUGUGUACAAUCUGUACUUCUGCAGGAAGUGUGAAACAUCCCAGGGAUUGGCUGGCUGCCUGAAGAACCCCAGCACCUGCCUUUCAUGGCAAGUGACCUGAGCAUUGAUGUGCCCAUGGUAGCAGUUCAGGUGGGUGUGUUACCUGUAUUAACAGACUUUUCUUGUUCUCUGCAUUGUACCAGAAACUGCACAUGCCUUGUACAAUCUGUUUGGCCCUCUUGUAAUGUCUGGUUUUCCUAAUAAACAUCUUUUGAAGUCUUUGCUUUGUGGCUGAUUUCCAAGGGUCCAAGUUCCCAUGUGUUAGGUACAUCCUUCUGAUGUGUUCUUUGGAUUGUGAAGGGAGGAGAGGAGAAACUCACAACUGCUUCUGUUGAAUAAAAACCUUAUUUGAAGCUGCUACAUCCACACAAGACCUUUGCUAAUAGUUUCUAUGUUUUGAGUAUUUUCUUGGAGUGUCCUGAUGCUUAAGAUGAGACAGAAAACCAUUGUAAGCAAAAUCAAAGAAAUUUGUCAUGAAACAAAAAUAAUUCUGAAUGUUGGUUUGGGACAUGAUGGUGAAACAAAUUGGAAGUUGUGAUCUUGGGCUCUUUUUCCUGUGAUGUGCCAAGUCCUGUGGAGAAACCUCAGCCACAUGAAGGUGAACUACCUUGCACUUACAUGAAUACCAAGAGUUUGGUUUCAUCCUGGCUUGCUAGUUUUUGUUUCAGAGGAGGACUGCAGGGAGAGUAGAAUGCACCCAACAGUGUGUUUUCAAUGUUCCUCCAUUUGGUUCUUUCCAGGAAGGAUGGGAAAGUAGCCUGUGUGCCCAUGCAGAUCUGUUUUCAAGAGGUGAAAAUUUGUGUGCAUGUGUGUAUUGACUUCAAAACCCCUUUUUUUUCUAUAGCAGUGUUCUGGCAUGUCGUGGAGAUCAGUUUGGCUUUGUUUUUCAGUUCAGCUGGGCAGACAUUACCAGAAUCCCUCAGAAAGACACUCUUUUUUCCUAUGCUUAAUCCUUUUUACAUGCAGCAUUGUACUAAUCUUGCUGAAUAGCAGGAAUGUACGUUUCCUAACAACAGCUACUACAGAAGUGUAAAUUAAGAAGCUGGCAUGAGGUCAUUUUGGAGACUUGGCCAUGAAAACAGGAUUAGAGUUAAUCCUGUAACAAAUAUGUUUGGCAACUUAAAAAAACAUCCAAACCCAAACAUGUUUGGCAACUUAAAAUCCAAAAGUUUUGAUGUUUGAUUCAGGUCUGACCCUCCUCAAACAAAUAAAAUCUUCUUGAAUGUCUCAUUUUGGCACAUUGUGGUGUCAGUGCUGUGUGUGCAGUCCCUGAGCACACACUGCUGUGUGUGCAGUCCCUGGUGUGGCCUGCUGGCAGGCAGCUUGCUCCCUUGGAACAGGAUGGUGUGAUGUUGGAUUCAAUCAAAAUUCAGUGAAUGUUUCCUUUUAUGGAAAAUGUUUAUCCUGUGAAUAGGCAAGCAAAUCACUUUCAUGAGGAGAGAGGAGACACUUUUCAACUAGGACUGGCCUGAAGGAAUUAUUGGCUACAGAUGAGGAGUCAUCCCCAGCCCUGCGAAUCCACCAGAACAGGAAUAAACUAACUUUGUUUGUGUUUGAUUGUGGGAAUUCCUGCUUUUUCUAAAGGCACCUGUGAAUUGGAAAUGAAUCUCAUGUGUAAGUUGUAUUCAUGUGAGACCCUGCCUGCAGUGCUGCAUCCCCCUCUUUGAGGUCCCCAGCACAAGGAGGACAAGGAGCUUCUGGACAGACUCCAGAAGAUGCCAUGGAGAUGCUCUGAGGGCUGGAGCCCCUCUGUUCUGGAGCCAAGCUGGGAAAGCUGGGGAUAUUCAUCUGGAGAAGGAUUGGGGGAGACCUCAGAGCCCCUUCCAGUGUCUAAAGGGGCUCCAAGAGAGCUAGAACAGAGUUAUAUUCUCAGUAUUUUGCUUUUUUUUUUGCUCCUGACAAUUUAACUUGAUCAGUCAUAGACAAAAUUCUUCAUGGCGUGCAGUUCUUGCAUUUUAAAAAUUAACAAGCAACUCUUUACAGGUGAUUUUAUUGCCACCUGCUGGAGUUUAAAUAAAAAAUCAGGUGGGUUUUUUUUUUUUUUGUUUUUUUUUUAUAUUUUGGCUACCUGAAAUGCCCUUGGAUGAGGGCAGGUGUAUUAGAGAUGUACUCACAGAAAUGCAGGCUAACCUGUCCCUUACCAAACCACUCAUUGACUCAUCAUUUUGUUUGUAAAGAUUAACUGAGAAAACAACCAGAGGCCAAUAUUUGAAUUUUAUAAGGAAAUCAGAAAAAUUUGACAGUAAAUGGAAUUGGAAAAUAGUGUGCAAAUGUCAGUGCUGUCAGCUGAGGUGGCAGAUGCAGCCUGGGGUGCAGCUUUGGGAAUGAGGACAGCACAGAGACAGGGCAGUGCUGGGAAACUGUGACCUGCAGCUCCAGAAACAAAUGUUUCCAGACAACUGCAGCAGCCUUGGUGAUAAUUUUGGGGAUUUUUGCAUUCCUGGGCCUGCCCUUCAUCCAAGAGGGGCUUUGGAAUGGAAUUGGACAACUCUGCAAUAUGAAUUUGUUACUAAUCCUUUCUCCUGAGCUGUGCUGCUCUUGACUCCGCUGGUCAGACUCUGCAGGAACCAACGCCGCUGGCAGCCCGAGUCCCUGGGAGUUGGUUAUGUUGGUGCCUUGAUUUUUUGGGUGAGUGUGGAAGAUGUGCUUGGAAAGCACCCUCUAGUCAGGAUCACUAAAAAUUAGCUUCUUGUCCCAUUGUGACCUGGGGGUGCACCAGGAAAGGGAGUACAAAGUUUCCUGGCAUGGAUGGCUUGGAGGAACCUGACCCACCUGCAGCUGAUGUAAAAACAUUAAAGGACAACAGGUGACAAUGAUUAUAUGUUGAUAAUGUCAUGAACUGUCAAUUGUGAUCUAGUUUAAACAUUUGUGAUCACUCCCAGUGCUCCAAAGAUUUAUGUUUGGUUUCUGUCUUAGGCUUCGCUGUUCCCACAUCUGAAUUCUGAUGCUUUUUCCUGUAUUUUCUCUCUAUGCUGCUGCUUUUUGCUUUAUGAUGAAAUGGAUUUCCUACAGAAUCUUGCAAACAUGAAAAGUAAUAAAAUCUCUUUGGUUAUGACCUCCC